AAGCAGUACAGAAUGGGUGUUGGAGAGAAAGGGAGUUACUUCUGGGCUUCUAGAAAAACCAGAAAGAAGACACCUAUACCUCUCAGCCUCCUAACUU
ensembl:misc_RNA Gm56344 predicted gene, 27507